CUGCAGGUGGAGUUCGCUGGCAAGUCAUGUGGGCACUAGUUUGAAGCACUAGUGAUAAGCUCAUAUUUAUAUAUAUUUUACAUAAAAUUCACUUGUCUUUUCUUAGUUAGUUCCUUAUAUUUUUGACCUAUUUACUAUGUUUUUGUAUUUUGUGUGAUUUAUCAAGCAAAGAAAAGAAAAGUAGCACAAGUGAAUUAUUAAGUAACAAAUUCGUCAAAACUGCCUGUGCAUAUUAGCUGACUUUGAAAGCAUGUUACGAACAGCUCAGAAUGAAUGAGAAAAUGUGCCUUAUAUGCGUGGAAAGCUACAGAUGUCUACUUUCUGGAGCAAUUUACGGAUUGUUAAUAUCAUUUUUCAAGAAGAAGUUAUGGGCAUUGUAACACUGAAAGGUUCAGAAACAUCGACAGCACAUACAAAGAGAAAGGCAAGGCAUGGACAGUUUGACAUGGCAGAAAAUGUGUGUGUUUUGUGGUUGAAAUGAUGCAAAGAACAUGUAUGUGUGCAAGUGUAAUGGCAAAGCAAAGAAACAUGGCAGCAAACCCACAUGCAAAGUGGAAGAAAAGCACAAGGCAUGGGCAGAAAUUUGGUGUGUUUUGUGGUUGAAAUGAUGAAGCAUGUGUGUAUAAAUG
rnacentral:lncRNA from 1 species